UCCGAGUUGACCCCGGCAGUCUCCUAUGAGUCCCCACCAUAGCGUGCUGGCAACAUAGAACGAGGGUUGCGCUCGUUGCGGGACUUAACCCAACAUCUCACGACACGAGCUGACGACAACCAUGCACCACCUGUGCACGACCCUUGCGGACCCACCAUCUCUGGAGGAUUUCCGUGCAUGUCAAGCCUAGGUAAGGUUCUUCGCGUUGCGUCGAAUUAAGCCACAUGCUCCGCUGCUUGUGCGGGCCCCCGUCAAUUCCUUUGAGUUUUAGCCUUGCGGCCGUACUCCCCAGGCGGGGCGCUUAAUGCGUUAGCUACGGCACGGAACCCGUGGAAUGGAUCCCACACCUAGCGCCCAACGUUUACGGUGUGGACUAC
rnacentral:misc_RNA from 1 species